UUCAGCGAACUCCUAAGGCACACAAAGAUGCGAUUCCUCGUGGUGUUGGCGGUUGUCCUCCUGUGGCAGUGGCCCAGAGCAGCGCGGGUAUGAUGGGUUUCGGAGGAGGGAAAGGAGGAGUAGGCGGAUAUGGCGGUGGAUAUGGAGACAGCGGCCCGCAGAUCGUGUAUUUGCCUGUGAACUGUGGGCCCUACCAGGCUGGCGGCGGUAUGGUGUCCCAUGGAGGCGGAUACGGCAUGUCCAUGGGAGGUUAUGGACGGUAAAACCUGCGCCGAGCGGCCUCCGCGACCCGCCUGCCUCGCCACCAAAGGGCGCGAUUUCGUUUCAAA